UAGGGAAUCUUCGGCAAUGGACGGAAGUCUGACCGAGCAACGCCGCGUGAGUGAAGAAGGUUUUCGGAUCGUAAAGCUCUGUUGUAAGAGAAGAACGAGUGUGAGAGUGGAAAGUUCACACUGUGACGGUAUCCUACCAGAAAGGGACGGCUAACUACGUGCCAGCAGCCGCGGUAAUACGUAGGUCCCGAGCGUUGUCCGGAUUUAUUGGGCGUAAAGCGAGCGCAGGCGGUUAGAUAAGUCUGAAGUUAAAGGCUGUGGCUUAACCAUAGUAGGCUUUGGAAACUGUUUAACUUGAGUGCAAGAGGGGAGAGUGGAAUUCCAUGUGUAGCGGUGAAAUGCGUAGAUAUAUGGAGGAACACCGGUGGCGAAAGCGGCUCUCUGGCUUGUAACUGACGCUGAGGCUCGAAAGCGUGGGGAGCAAACAGGAUUAGAUACCCUGGUAGUCCACGCUGUAAACGAUGAGUGCUAGGUGUUAGACCCUUUCCGGGGUUUAGUGCCGUAGCUAACGCAUUAAGCACUCCGCCUGGGGAGUACGACCGCAAGGUUG
rnacentral:rRNA from 1 species